GCCUCCGUGGCGCAACGGACUAGCGCACCGGUUUUCUAAUCCGAUGGUUGCCGGUUCGAAUCCGGCCGGGGGCAC
rnacentral:tRNA from 1 species